rnacentral:rRNA from 1 species
GAUGAACGCUGGCGGCGUGCCUAAUACAUGCAAGUCGAGCGAACAGACGAGGAGCUUGCUCCUCUGACGUUAGCGGCGGACGGGUGAGUAACACGUGGAUAACCUACCUAUAAGACUGGGAUAACUUCGGGAAACCGGAGCUAAUACCGGAUAAUAUAUUGAACCGCAUGGUUCAAUAGUCAAAGACGGUUUUGCUGUCACUUAUAGAUGGAUCCGCGCCGCAUUAGCUAGUUGGUAAGGUAACGGCUUACCAAGGCAACGAUGCGUAGCCGACCUGAGGGGGUGAUCGGCCACACUGGAACUGAGACACGGUCCAGACUCCUACGGGAGGCAGCAGUAGGGAAUCUUCCGCAAUGGGCGAAAGCCUGACGGAGCAACGCCGCGUGAGUGAUGAAGGUCUUCGGAUCGUAAAACUCUGUUAUUAGGGAAGAACAAAUGUGUAAGUAACUAUGCACGUCUUGACGGUACCUAAUCAGAAAGCCACGGCUAACUACGUG